AUGUAGUGUCUUUUCUCAGCAGUUUAACAUGUUCUAUUCAAGGACAACCUAUUAAAUGGAUUUUUGGAACAGGGAGAUGGAGUAGAGCUUGUUCUGUCCACUCCAUGCAUUGACUUGGUAGUGCAAGACCUCCAGGAAUGGU
rnacentral:snRNA from 1 species